GCCGUUCUCGUAUAGUGGUUUAGUAUAAGUCGUUGUGGCCGACUCGACCCAGGUUCGAAUCCUGGGAACGGCA